rnacentral:lncRNA from 1 species
AGAGAGAAGAAAGAAAGAAAGAAAGAAAGAAAGAAAGAAAGAAAGAAAGAAAGAAAGAAAGAAAGAAAGAAAGAUGGAUGACAACUUCAGGAGUUAUCCUGGAAUGGAUUUGUGACAGAGGGAGAAAAAAGUACCUAUUAAGAACACUGUUAGGACAAUGGAAGAAAUUUAAAUAUGGACUGUGGAUUAGAUAGUAGUCUUACAUCAAUGUUAAGAUUUGUUUUUUAUAAUUGUCCUGUAAUGUACAGGAGUAUUGCAACUCUAAGUUUGAAAUUAUUCCCAAUUAUAUCAAAAUUAAAAGUGGCUGAUAAAUAAAAGUAACCAAAGUAAGACAAAUAGGAAGAAAACAAUAGAAUGAUUGAUAAAACUUUAUAUUUUUUUAUAUUCUGAUAAUUAUAUACACUAGGUGAUUAAGGAAGAAAAUUAGUAAGUAUUUUACUAUUUGAUAAAAGAAUAGUAUGGAUUCCUUGUAGCAUAUCUCCAGGGGCAUCAUAGUUGAUUAGUAUUAUUUUUUUUUUUUUAAAUUAAAGAGAAUCUCUCAGGGUCUUGCAUAAGAAGAUUUGGCUAAUACUUUAAGAGUUUAUUAACUUAUGCUCAAACUAAUCUUGAAUUACAAUAUAAAUCCUUUGAAAGAAUAUUGAUAGUCAUGUAAAUUCUGUAUAAAUUCAUUGCCACUGUAUUUUAAAUAUUCUCCCUUGAUAUCCUUAAUCCCCGUGUAUUAUAGACCAAUGCUGAUGUCUUAACAAGAAUAGAAAGAAUACUGAUUGUUAGUGGUUUUGAAUGAUACCUAGCUUCAAGCAAAGGUGCAAGAUGAGAAAAGAGGCUGUGGUGAGAAAAGAUUGUAACAGGACCUACUUAAAAGUUCAGGGGUCAGAAGCAGGAACCAAAGGAGACACCCCAAUGGCCACCAGGAGCAGUGAGCAACCUUGUGUAGAUACCUCUUAUGCCCGUGAGCUUGCUGCUUUCUCACCAUCUCUGGAGGUCAUGAGUAAGUCCUUCUCAGAUCCUGGAUUCUACCUCUGUGGCUUUUGCAUUUUGAGCUUUCAGACUUUAUUUAAGCAUUUCUCUUUCUGGACGCAGUCAGAUUGGGUCCAGAUGAGACUGUUUCUGACUUAGAAACCACACUGCAUCCAGUGUGAGGCAUCAGGUGAAUAAAAUUUUGAGGCUGAAUAAGUAACGUUAACCU